UACGGAGGGUCCAAGCGUUGUCCGGAAUCACUGGGUGUAAGGGGGCGUAGGCGGGCUAGUAAGGCAGGGGGGAAAGCCCGCGGCUCAACCGCGGAACUGCCCUUGAUACUGCAAGUCUUGAGUCCUGGAGGGGCUGGCGGAAUUCGUGGUGUAGCGGUGAAAUGCGUAGAUAUCUGGAGGAACACCGGUGGCGAAGGCGGCAUCCUGGACCGGCAUUGACGCUGAGGCGCGAAAGCUAGGGGAGCAAACGGG
rnacentral:rRNA from 1 species